UCCCUAAAUAGGGACUAGUAUGAACGGCUAAAUGAGGACCUUACUGUCUCUUGCCGCCAGUCAAUGAAACUGAUCUCCCAGUCCAAAAGCUGGAAUAACUCCAUAAGACAAAAAGACCCUGUGGAGCUUUAAAACCAAAACCACCUACAAUUGUCCACUUGGUUUUUAGUUGGGGCGACUUCGGAGCAAAGACAAACCUCCGAAACAAUGGACCUCACCAUAUCAAGGCCAACACGCCAAAAUAACCAAAACUUGACCCAGACCUUAAUUUCUGACCAAUGAACCAAGUUACCCCAGGGAUAACAGCGCCAUCUUCUUUUAGAGUCCCUAUCGACAAGAAGGUUUACGACCUCGAUGUUGGAUCAGGACACCCCAAUAGUGCAGCCGCUAUUAAAGGUUCG
rnacentral:rRNA from 1 species